UACGUAGGUCCCGAGCGUUGUCCGGAUUUAUUGGGCGUAAAGCGAGCGCAGGUGGUUUAUUAAGUCUGGUGUAAAAGGCAGUGGCUCAACCAUUGUAUGCAUUGGAAACUGGUAGACUUGAGUGCAGGAGAGGAGAGUGGAAUUCCAUGUGUAGCGGUGAAAUGCGUAGAUAUAUGGAGGAACACCGGUGGCGAAGGCGGCUCUCUGGACUGUAACUGACACUGAGGCUCGAAAGCGUGGGUAGCAAACAGG
rnacentral:rRNA from 1 species